rnacentral:rRNA from 1 species
GAUGAACGCUGGCGGCGUGCUUAACACAUGCAAGUCGAACGGAAAGGCUCCUGCUUGCAGGGGUACUCGAGUGGCGAACGGGUGAGUAACACGUGGGUGAUCUGCCCUGCACUUCGGGAUAAGCCUGGGAAACUGGGUCUAAUACCGGAUAGGACGAUGGUUUGGAUGCCAUUGUGGAAAGUUUUUCGGUGUGGGAUGAGCUCGCGGCCUAUCAGCUUGUUGGUGGGGUAAUGGCCUACCAAGGCGUCGACGGGUAGCCGGCCUGAGAGGGUGUACGGCCACAUUGGGACUGAGAUACGGCCCAGACUCCUACGGGAGGCAGCAGUGGGGAAUAUUGCACAAUGGGCGCAAGCCUGAUGCAGCGACGCCGCGUGGGGGAUGACGGCCUUCGGGUUGUAAACUCCUUUCGCUAGGGACGAAGCGCAAGCGACGGUACCUGGAGAAGAAGCACCGGCUAACUACGUG